GAUUAGCGUGAAGGAUAGUAGCGGCAUCCUUUUUUCUAUUUGCUUCCCUCUUUUUGCCUUAGCAACAUGCAUAAAGAAUCAGAAAAAAGAUAUAGCGAAUAGCCUGACCCAUA
rnacentral:sRNA from 1 species